AAGAGCAAAGCAGGGGACCUUCGGGCCUUGCGCUACCGGAUAUGCCCAGGUGGGAUUAGCUAGUUGGUGAGGUAAGGGCUCACCAAGGCGACGAUCCCUAGCUGGUCUGAGAGGAUGAUCAGCCACACUGGAACUGAGACACGGUCCAGACUCCUACGGGAGGCAGCAGUGGGGAAUAUUGCACAAUGGGCGCAAGCCUGAUGCAGCCAUGCCGCGUGUAUGAAGAAGGCCUUCGGGUUGUAAAGUACUUUCAGUAGGGAGGAAGGUGGUUAAGCUAAUACCUUAAUCAUUUGACGUUACCUACAGAAGAAGCACCGGCUAACUCCGUGCCAGCAG
rnacentral:rRNA from 1 species